CUCUACACUAAACAGCCUCAGGUCUCUCAGAGAGCCCAGACACGUGGGAUUGGGCUGUUGUUUGCAAAGUCAAUCAAAAGGAGAAGGAAGGGGGCUUACUUUUGAGAGGAAACUUAAGAACUUGCAGACAGCCCAGGAGAUACCACUAGAAGCUAUUCUCCUUACAGCCAGUUCUUUUAGCACAGUCUUUCAAUCAAUGUCAAUCCUCAAGCCAGGUCCUAGCCACAUUCUAGCUUUGAAUUUGCUGCUGAACCUGCCUCUGACCAAUUUUGUGAUGCUUGUAUCUACUGUCAGUAGCAAAUAAGAAGCUCACUGGCAGUGCUUAAGGUGCUCAACACCAGACUGUUACCGUGGAUGUUCUCCUGGCUGACCUCUUCCUUUUCAUACUUGCUUUUUACAAAUCCUAUUAAAGCCAAAACGAGAUGAGAAACAGAGGAUUCUCUACAUUAUAAGCCUCGAAUCAGAAUCCUGGAUCAGUUUUCUAGGGAGUGAACCUGGAUUCAUGCAGAAAAAAGCCAUGAGAAAAGACCUCUCAGCUUUGGAUCACAGCAAAGAAAUUCAACUUGCUCCUUUUCAGAGCAGUAGAGUUUGUACUGCUGCUUUCAAUUUAGCACUUCCCAGACUGUGAGAUAUCCUACUGGCUUGUUUGUUUAAUGCUCUGGAGGGAUCUUAGAUGUCAUUUAGGCUUUGGUGUUGCAAAUCACAGCUCUGCAAAGGUGCAAAUAGAAGUAGCAUUUGCACACGUUUAAGGAGAAAACAGAGUCAAGCAUGCUGAGCAGCCUCGAGGCUCCCUGCACCUCCACACUUCCACAGAUGUUCAGGGUAAUAAAAGUAUGGGAGGAGAGAGGUAUAACAUAGGAACUGACAAGAGCCUCCACAGCCUGCUGCGCCGUGAAUUUUGCUGGUUGGAAUUUGCCCCUUUGUUGAGACCCCGCCUGGGAUUGGUACUCCACCUCCACACUGUCAGAGGUAUAAGAGUUUAUCUUUCACUUGUGGUUCUGACACAGUAUCACACAGUAUCACAGUAUCACCAAGGUUGGAAGAGACCUCACAGACCAUCAAGUCCAACCCUUUACCACAGAGCUCAAGGCUAGACCAUGGCACCAAGUGCCAGUGUCAUCAGGCAGAAUGCAGACAGGACCCAGAGAUCCUUCAUCUAAGUUUUGCUUGAGCAAGCAAUAAAUUUGGCUUGGUGGUUUAUCCCUCUACUGACUUAGGAACUGCACAUGUGGGUGUUGUUGUACCCCACUCUGUGGAAAAAGGCAAACAAAGAGUGUGCUGAAGGACACGCAAUGAUGCCAGUGCUGAAGGGCUCCAGGAAGGAUGGGGAAGAAGCUUCCUUGCCUGAGUUGCAGCAGGGCUGUGACUCCUGUGAAACAAGAUGGUUUUUUGCAGCUCUCCCUGCAGCAUGUCACACGAAAGCUCUGCAGCUGUGUGAUGCUGUAACCACCGUCUGUCUGCCCUGGGUCCACAUGCACAGAAGACACGUGGCAGGCAGCAACUAUUCUUUGUUAAGACUUCUAGUACCACUUGAAUUCUUGACCAAGACUGAUAGGACUCUUGCUAACAAAGCUUUCCUGCUUGAAUAAUCUCUAGAUGGGUAAGUGCACUCCAGUUCUUCACUUCAAUUUUAAUCACAAAAUCAUUAUGUCCCAGUCAUGGACAGGAGAGAGCUCCCCCAUAUGCAACACUUGGACAUCCACAGACAUUAGUACAAAGGAGUCCUUUGCAUUUAUAGCUUGAUAUAUCCCUUCAAGCCCCCAAUGUUGUUUUGACCAUAAAGUUGUAACCUUGAAGCAAUAAAAUGGGCAAGAGAAAAAUCUUCUGAAUUAACUUCAAGUACAAAGAAUAACAUUUCACAUCAUGCCUCCUCCAGGCAAGUCAUAGUAUCAUAGAAUCAGUCAGGGUUGGAAAGGACCGCAAGAAUCAUCUGGUUCCAACUCCCCUGCCAUGGACCUGGACACCCUACCCUAGAUCAGGCUGGCCAGAGCCCCAUCCAGCCUGGCCUUAAACGUCUCCAGGAACAGAGACUCAACCACUUCCCUGGGCAACCCAUUCCAGGCUCUGACCACUCUCAUAGUGAAGAACUUCCUCCUCAAGUCCAGUCUGAAGUCAUAUCCGCUCGAAGUAAGCUGCCUAAGACUGCUGUUGGAGAUGGGAGUGAGAAGCAAGCAUACAGUACUGCUGUGAUUGGGCAAGUCAGGGGGUAGCACUGGUCUGUUGAAGCCCCACAAAAGUCCGUGCAAUACAGAUCAGACCUGCUGUGGAAGAAGGCAAGAUGCAUAGAGUGUACAGAAGCAAGGGUUUGAUCUUCCCUGUAGAAACGGAUGUGCCUAGAAGAGGCCGAAACAAGAACACACGCAAAGUAAUUUCGCAACCAAACGGGGAAAUUCAGAAUCUAAACAUCCGAGACUGCCAGAAAUUAAAAGAAAGUGAAAUACAUUGCUUUCGCUUCGCUGGAGAGGGCUAUCCCUGGAGCUUCAUCUGAAGAUACUGACGUGUGUACCCCUUGCAUGUCAUUGGUGAGCUCUGGUCCUGGCACCUGCGAGAUUCUCCUGAACAUAAACAGGGGGAAGUGCAGAGAUACAUCUCACAGCUUCCCACUGAUGGAGCAAUGCUGGGCAAGUCAGCGUCUCAGGUCUCCCUUGAGACCUAAGGCAACCACAAGGUGGAGGUUCAUCAGCUCAGC